AUGGGCACUAGGUGUGGGAGGUGUCGACUCCUCCCGUGCCGUCGCUAACGCACUAAGUGCCCCGCCUGGGGAGUACGGCCGCAAGGCUAAAACUCAAAGGAAUUGACGGGGGCCCGCACAAGCAGCGGAGCAUGUGGUUUAAUUCGACGCAACGCGAAGAACCUUACCUGGGUUUGACAUGUAGGUGACCGCCGUGGAGACACGGUUUUCCUUCGGGACACCUUCACAGGUGGUGCAUGGCUGUCGUCAG
rnacentral:rRNA from 1 species